rnacentral:tRNA from 1 species
GCCAAGGUAGCUCAGGGGCAGAGCAGCUCACUCGUAAUGAGCAGGCCGUGGGUUCGAAUCCCACUCUUGGCU